GAUUCUAGAGCAUAGGAUUAAUCACGAGUUCCGUGGUCCACCAAGGGAACAACUCAUGACUAUUUUUUGGUUUAGUUUCUCGACGAUGUUCUUCUCACAUAGAGAGAACACUGUGAGCACUCUAGGACGGCUGGUGCUGAUUAUAUGGUUGUUUGUGGUGUUGAUUAUCAAUUCGAGCUAUACAGCUAGUUUGACAUCGAUCCUCACUGUACAACAGAUGACAUCACGGAUUGAGGGGAUAGACAGCUUAAUAUCAAGUAAUGAU